UAACCUGCCCAUUUUGAAGCAAGAAACAUAUCAGUUCUUUGCGCCUAUUGUACCACUAACUCAAUUUUGAUGAGACUGUAAACUAAAUUUUUAGAUUAGAAAUUAUAGUUGAUGCGACAGUAACCUGAUAAUAUGAUAAAAAAAAAGAAUAUAUUUAUACAAGGUGUUUUGAAAUUAUAGAUGCUGCUUCCUGAUAAAAUAGUCGGUGGUAGGGGCGGAAACAGGAAAAUAGUUUGGGGCAAGCUCGACAAUAUCGGUUUGUGAAGAAUUUUGGACACUAAUAAAUACUUCGUUUGUCCACAAAAA